rnacentral:rRNA from 1 species
GAUGAACGCUGGCGGCGUGCCUAAUACAUGCAAGUCGAGCGAUCGGAUGAGAAGCUUGCUUCUCUGAUGUUAGCGGCGGACGGGUGAGUAACACGUGGAUAACCUACCUAUAAGACUGGGAUAACUUCGGGAAACCGGAGCUAAUACCGGAUAAUGUUUUGAACCGCAUGGUUCAAAAGUGAAAGACGGUCUUGCUGUCACUUAUAGAUGGAUCCGCGCUGCAUUAGCUAGUUGGUAAGGUAACGGCUUACCAAGGCAACGAUGCAUAGCCGACCUGAGAGGGUGAUCGGCCACACUGGAACUGAGACACGGUCCAGACUCCUACGGGAGGCAGCAGUAGGGAAUCUUCCGCAAAGGGCGAAAGCCUGACGGAGCAACGCCGCGUGAGUGAUGAAGGUCUUCGGAUCGUAAAACUCUGUUAUUAGGGAAGAACAUAUGUGUAAGUAACUGUGCACAUCUUGACGGUACCUAAUCAGAAAGCCACGGCUAACUACGUG